AUGAACGCUGGCGGCGUGCUUAACACAUGCAAGUCGAACGAUGAUCCCAGCUUGCUGGGGGAUUAGUGGCGAACGGGUGAGUAACACGUGAGUAACCUGCCCUUGACUCUGGGAUAAGCCUGGGAAACUGGGUCUAAUACCGGAUAUGACUCCUCAUCGCAUGGUGGGGGGUGGAAAGCUUUUGUGGUUUUGGAUGGACUCGCGGCCUAUCAGCUUGUUGGUGGGGUAAUGGCCUACCAAGGCGACGACGGGUAGCCGGCCUGAGAGGGUGACCGGCCACACUGGGACUGAGACACGGCCCAGACUCCUACGGGAGGCAGCAGUGGGGAAUAUUGCACAAUGGGCGCAAGCCUGAUGCAGCGACGCCGCGUGAGGGAUGACGGCCUUCGGGUUGUAAACCUCUUUCAGUAGGGAAGAAGCGUAAGUGACGGUACCUGCAGAAGAAGCGCCGGCUAACUACGU
rnacentral:rRNA from 1 species